rnacentral:lncRNA from 1 species
AUAAGGCAGUUUUAGGGGGAUUUUCUCCAAAUUGCCCUUUUACACCAUUUUCUGCAAAAUAAUAUUAAAAGCAAUAAAUUAAGCAGAAAUCAUGUAAAUAUUCAUCAAUAAUAUUAAUAUAAAAUGGACUAAAUUAUGCUCUAUCAAAUACCCCCACACUUAGCCUUUUGCUUGUCCUCAAGCAAAUAAACAUAGUCAAACAAGC